rnacentral:lncRNA from 1 species
GAGACCAGGCAUCUGACCCCUGCGGUAUUUCCUAGACUUUAUGUGUAAUAAGGAAGGAAACGCCAAAUUCCCUGGGUCAGACUCAGAUUUCUUCCAUUUCUGAGUCCAUAACUGAAAACAGUUUCCCUGCAUCCUUCACUGCAUAAAGAAGAGUUUUUUAACAGGCCUGUUUCGC